GGAAGAGUUUGAUCCUGGCUCAGAACGAACGCUGGCGGCAGGCCUAACACAUGCAAGUCGAGCGCCCCGCAAGGGGAGCGGCGGACGGGUGAGUAACGCGUGGGAACGUACCCUUUGCUACGGAAUAGCCUCGGGAAACUGGGAGUAAUACCGUAUGUGCCCUUCGGGGGAAAGAUUUAUCGGCAAAGGAUCGGCCCGCGUUGGAUUAGGUAGUUGGUGGGGUAAUGGCCUACCAAGCCGACGAUCCAUAGCUGGUUUGAGAGGAUGAUCAGCCACACUGGGACUGAGACACGGCCCAGACUCCUACGGGAGGCAGCAGUGGGGAAUCUUAGACAAUGGGCGCAAGCCUGAUCUAGCCAUGCCGCGUGAGCGAUGAAGGCCUUAGGGUUGUAAAGCUCUUUCAGUGGGGAAGAUAAUGACUGUACCCACAGAAGAAGCCCCGGCUAACUCCGUGCCAGCAGCCGCGGUAA
rnacentral:rRNA from 1 species